AAACAUUACACUGAAAAUACAGUUCUGCUGAAGUCCUUGUGGGUUUCCUUGUUUGAGUGACGAGUGAGCCAGCGGGAAAUCUCUGACACUGGGUCUGCCAGGGGAGGAGUGAUCCAGGUGAGGGGAACAGCGUGUGCAAAGGACAGAGGAGGGAGUGUGCGUGGUGUGUUCAAAGAACAGCAAGAAGCCAACAGGACCAGGAAAGGGAGUGCGGCCGGACACGAAGAGAGAAGGAGCAGGGAUUGUGUCAAGAGGAGCCUUGUAGGCUAUCACGAAACUUUCUAUUUUGAUGAGAACUUUACUCUGAAUAAAGCUGAAGGUCUCAGAAGAGAUCCCCGAUAAACUGUACCCUUGUUCCCCACCCAAGUUUUAAAUAACUGGCAAAAUAAAGCAAGGGAUUUUUAUGUCUUUCUUUUUCUUUUCCUCUCUAGUGCAUCCUAAGCAGCAGAAUAGUACUUGGCAAAGAGUAGGUUCUCAAAAAAUACUUGAUGAAUGAAUGAAGAAAGAAAUUCUGUUUUAAGUAAAGAUAGAAACCAACACACCAGCUUUA
rnacentral:lncRNA from 1 species